rnacentral:rRNA from 1 species
CCCUUAGAUGUCCGGGGCCGCACGCGCGCUACACUGAAGGAAUCAGCGUGGCUUUCUCCCUGACCCGAAAGGGUUGGGAAACCCGUUGAAUCUCCUUCGUGAUAGGGAUUGGGGCUUGAAAUUGUUCCCCAUGAACGAGGAAUUCCCAGUAAGCGCGAGUCAUAAGCUCGCGUUGAUUACGUCCCUGCCCUUUGUACACACCGCCCGUCGCUACUACCGAUUGAACGGUUUAGUGAGGGCUUCGGAUUGGUCUCGGCCCGCUCUUUACCGGGCGGCGCCGUUGGUCGAGAAGACGCUCGAACUUGAUCGUUUAGAGGAAGUAAAAGUCGUAACA